rnacentral:rRNA from 1 species
GAUUAAGUUAUUAAGGGCGCACGGUGGAUGCCUUGGCACUAGAAGCCGAUGAAGGACGUUACUAACGACGAUAUGCUUUGGGGAGCUGUAAGUAAGCUUUGAUCCAGAGAUUUCCGAAUGGGGAAACCCAGCAUGAGUUAUGUCAUGUUAUCGAUAUGUGAAUACAUAGCAUAUCAGAAGGCACACCCGGAGAACUGAAACAUCUUAGUACCCGGAGGAAGAGAAAGAAAAUUCGAUUCCCUUAGUAGCGGCGAGCGAAACGGGAAGAGCCCAAACCAACAAGCUUGCUUGUUGGGGUUGUAGGACACUCUAUACGGAGUUACAAAGGACGACAUUAGACGAAUCAUCUGGAAAGAUGAAUCAAAGAAGGUAAUAAUCCUGUAGUCGAAAAUGUUGUCUCUCUUGAGUGGAUCCUGAGUACGACGGAGCACGUGAAAUUCCGUCGGAAUCUGGGAGGACCAUCUCCUAAGGCUAAAUACUCUCUAGUGACCGAUAGUGAACCAGUACCGUGAGGGAAAGGUGAAAAGCACCCCGGAAGGGGAGUGAAAUAGAACCUGAAACCGUGUGCUUACAAGUAGUCAGAGCCCGUUAAUGGGUGAUGGCGUGCCUUUUGUAGAAUGAACCGGCGAGUUACGAUUUGAUGCAAGGUUAAGCAGUAAAUGUGGAGCCGUAGCGAAAGCGAGUCUGAAUAGGGCGUUUAGUAUUUGGUCGUAGACCCGAAACCAGGUGAUCUACCCUUGGUCAGGUUGAAGUUCAGGUAACACUGAAUGGAGGACCGAACCGACUUACGUUGAAAAGUGAGCGGAUGAACUGAGGGUAGCGGAGAAAUUCCAAUCGAACCUGGAGAUAGCUGGUUCUCUCCGAAAUAGCUUUAGGGCUAGCCUCAAGUGAUGAUUAUUGGAGGUAGAGCACUGUUUGGACGAGGGGCCCCUCUCGGGUUACCGAAUUCAGACAAACUCCGAAUGCCAAUUAAUUUAACUUGGGAGUCAGAACAUGGGUGAUAAGGUCCGUGUUCGAAAGGGAAACAGCCCAGACCACCAGCUAAGGU